UACGGAGGGGGCUAGCGUUGUUCGGAAUUACUGGGCGUAAAGCGCGCGUAGGCGGCUUUGUAAGUUAGAGGUGAAAGCCCCGGAGCUCAACUCCGGAACUGCCUUUAAGACUGCAUCGCUAGAACGUCGGAGAGGUAAGUGGAAUUCCGAGUGUAGAGGUGAAAUUCGUAGAUAUUCGGAAGAACACCAGUGGCGAAGGCGACUUACUGGACGACUGUUGACGCUGAGGUGCGAAAGCGUGGGGAGCAAAGCAGG
rnacentral:rRNA from 1 species